rnacentral:lncRNA from 1 species
CAGAGCCCUGAAGACAAGGGGUAACACACCAAAAUAUGGACUCAUUUUUCAUUCCACCUUCAUUGGCCGAGCAGCUGCAAAGAACAAAGGCCGUAUCUCCCGAUACCUAGCAAACAAAUGCAGUAUUGCCUCGAGAAUUGAUUGCUUCUCUGAGGUCCCCACAAGUGUAUUUGGGGAAAAACUCCGAGAACAAGUUGAGGAACGGCUGUCUUUCUAUGAGACUGGAGAGAUCCCACGGAAGAACCUGGAUGUCAUGAGAGAAGCCGUGGUUCAGGCAGAGGAAGCGGCUGCUGAAAUCACCAGAAAGCUGGAAAAACAGGAGAAGAAGCGCUUGAAGAAGGAAAAGAAGCGACUGGCUGCACUGGCCCUGGCCACGUCAGAAAACAGAGUACCCCAGAGGAGUGUGAGGAGGUACAUGAAAAACCUAAGAAGAAGAAGAAGAAGAAGAAGUUAAAACCCCAGGAGACCCUACAGGAAAAUGGAAUGGAAGACCCACCUGUCUCUCUACCUAAAACCAAGAAAAAGAAAGCUCCCAAGGAGGAGUUGGCCAGUGACCUUGAAGAGAUGGCCACUAGCAGUGCUAAGAGAAAGAAGUCCUUACCUAAGGAGGAAGUGGCCAGUGAACCAGAAGAGGAGGCAGCAAGCCCCACCACCCCUAAGAAGAAAAGGAAAUUUUCUGAGGAGCCUGAAGUUGCUGCUAACUUCACAAAGAGCAGCACAAAGAAAAAGAAAAAGUCCCAGAAAGCACAGGAGGAUUAG